UCAAACUUGGUAUGGGUUGUUGCUGGCUUCUUGAAGCAUGUGCACGCUUAUUCCGACUUUAUUUCACCCACCUGUGCACUUCAUGUAGAUCUGGAAACCAUUCGAAAUAAAACAUUCGGUCAAAGAAUUGCCGUGCCCCCAUGCCAGCUUUUCUGAACACCUUCAGAUCUAUGCUUCAAUAUACUCCAUAUAAAGUAUCGGAAUGUAUGAUAGUUUAGGCGUGAACUCGCCUGUACUUUUUUAUAUACAACUUUCAACAACGGAUCUCUUGGCUCUCGCAUCGAUGAAGAACGCAGC
rnacentral:misc_RNA from 1 species